GUUCCAAAUCAAGUCCUUUCAGGGAGAUUAUAUUGCUGUAAAUGGUACUCUGACACUUUAUUUGUUGGCUUCAAGUAAUUGCAAAAUGGGGAAAUUUUAAAUGGUGAAAAAUAAAAAAAACAGGCGUAUUCCUAGAGGAACCCUAGAAUAUAAUCAUUUAUUGAAUUAACUUUUAUGUUGGAUAGUAAUGCACUGAUUAAUAGCAAACACACCAAUGUAAGCCAAAUAUCUGCCAAUUUGCUUUGUUAAUUACUGCACCACCUGCACCCAUCAGUGUCAGCAGACCGCCUGAAGCUAAACUGACUUGCUAUGCGUUUUGCUGUGUUUUUUUUUAUUGUUCCAUUUUAAUAUAUUUAUUCAAUAAGGAUUUUCAAAAGGAAAAAUUAGAUGCAUUUUUCCUCCACUAUGUGAGCAUGCCUGUGCACUAUGUGAGCAUAUGACCCACCAACGCCCUGCUCAUAAAACCCGGAUGGCUGACAGGAUGCACAUUACUAAUUUAAACUCCACUUGCUAAAAAUGUUUUAUUCAUUUUACCCUAUCUCCACUUCUGAAAUACAAACAGUAUCUCACAUAUCAUGAUAUAUUCUUUUAAAUUUUAAUACUGUAAUUAAAUGCACCAAUAAAAUAAUGCUUCCACAUUCUAGCCUCUUUUUUUUCCCCUCCUUUCCUUUUAGGUUGUGUAUUGGGAAGAUGACACCAAGCCUGACACUGUUGGCAAAGUGCGUAUAACUGGAAACUACACACAGGUUAACAUCACGGGGCUGAAAGCGAACACGGUGUACUACCUCUCUGUGGCUGCCUUUAACACUGCUGGGCCCGGGCCGCAGUCAGCGCCCAUCAACAACACCACAAGAAAACCACCACCAGACAGGGCUCCGCUCAACAUACAAUGGAGCAUGAUUGGCUCCACACUAACGCUGCACUGGGACCCUGUAGUUGCCAUGGAGACAGAGUCAAAGGUGACUGGAUAUCUGGUGAUUCUGAAAAGACAUCGAUACAACGACAUCCACACCAUCUUCACAAACAAAACCACAGCUGAGCUCAGCCUCUCAGCCAGCGACAACUAUCUCAUUCAGAUCAAGGUCCUGAGCGAAGGUGGGGAAGGUGUGGGCAGCGAACCCAUUCACAUCCAUAAAUUAAGCAUGGGAGCGCGGGGUUCUGGAGCCAGCAGUCUCAGAUGGUUGUCUUGCUCUACAAUCCUCGUCAGUGGACUUUUGUUUUCUGUCUGGUGAUGUCAAGCCUCCGCCCUUCUUUUUUUCAUCCAUACGGAUUGUCCCAUGUUGAAACCCCCCACUGGACUAAAGUCCAUGUCUGAGAAGAAAAACUGGGAGAGAAAGGGAAAAGGACUAGACCACGUCAAAAUCUUAAAGGGAACACGCCAUUUUGUUUAAAUAGCCAUCCAAAAAAGAAGUGGUGAAUCACCUGCAUGAUAUUUUUUACAACUUCUUCCUCUGACGAAAAAUUGCCACUCUUCUCUAUAUUUUAUUUUAGAAGUUGCCUAUAUUUCCCGAUUUGUUUCAUAACUUUUGAGAUCGACUUGCCUUAAAACCCUCUUUGAUGAAACAGUCCAAACCAAAGUAGGCAACAAUGGCUGCUUCAACCAUAUACAAAAGUGCAAAAAAAAAAAAAAAAAAAGUUCCUCACCCUGUAAUUUUCACAGCACAGUCUUCACAUCUUAACUUUUGGUUGCUCCUAUAAUUUAGUUUGUCAAACUGACCUAAAACCAUUCAUUCAGAGCAAUGCUGUUAGGCAAACUGAUGCUAAUGCAUUUCCUUGGAAAAGAACUCACACCUCUUUAGCCUCAACGUAUUAGAAUUGAGUCUCACAUACUAACACAAUGUAGCAUAUAAUUGUAAAGUGGAAGAAUAUUUUUUUAAGCUUUUUAUUAAUACUAUCUGAAAAGUGUUGUGUGCUUAUAUAAUUUGUCUACUGUUGUUUGACACCCCAAAAAGCCAGUGCAACCAUUGCCUUUAUCGAUCAUCGUAUAACGUCAAUUGCAUUGAUGUUUGAUGCUACUUUUGGAGAAUCCUUUUGCACUACAAUUAAAACAGAAAGUUUUUCGGGAUAUGUUUAUACCAGAUUUGGGCAUACAGAGACAUUUUUGUGUCUAUAUUUAUUUAAAAAAUAUCUCAGACUCAGAUUGAACAACACUUCCUUUGUAGAUCCAGCUGUAUGUUUAGGGUCGUUGUCCUGCUUGAAGAUAAACUUCAACCCCAAUUCCAAGUAGCUUGCUCCCUACAACAGAACGGCCCUGUGUUUAGUUUUCAUCCAUCUUUCCAUAAAAUCUGUCAAGCUUUAUUGUCAUUGCCGAAGAAAAAUUAUUCCCAUAGCAUGAUGCUGCCACCACCAUGUGUCAUUCCGCAGAAGGUGGCUUCCUCCAAUCUGAACAGAAUACCUUUUUCCACGUUUGUUGUGUCCACCUCAAAACCUGUGGCAAAAUGAAAACGGGAAUUUUGACAGCUUUCAAACUGAACGGUUGUAUUUAUAGUUCUACACAAAUAUACAUGUAUCUAUCUUACUUAUUAUUUAAGUGACUUAUGAAGCCAAUUGGUUGCACUGGGUUUUAUUUAGAGCGGGCCAGGUUAAAAGAGGCUUGGUACAUAUGUGUGCCACACUGCAGAUUUUUAUGUUAAAAACAUUUGAAAAAUCACUUCACAAAUAUGUACUACUUUGUGUUGACCCAUUACAUAAAAUACUAAUGAAAUACAUUGAAUUCAUGUGACAGAAUGCGACAGAAUGUGAAAAAGGUCAAGGGGUUUGACUACUUUUCCAAGGCUCUGUAAUAAUAUCCAUUGCAGCGCUACGAGCGUUACCAGGCUUUGUCAAAUAUACGAUUGAUGCAUAAUUGAUCAGCUGUGCCUGAAACCCACUUAUCUCUGACUACCGGAAUAUUAUUAAAUCUGUUAGGGUUACAGGCUGGUGAGCUUUAGACCCCUUCCACAACACUCUGAUAGAUCUUGGCAUUUUGCUCUCCAUCUCAUGCUCCUCUAAAUAAUAAAUGCCUAUCACACUCUGCAUUCUAAGUCUUGCAGAAAAAUCGAGAUUGAGGAGAGCAGACAUGUGGUGUAGCUACAUCAAGCCGAUCCCAUGUGUACUGUUCCAUCUCUACGUCGAGGCGACCGGUGUUCUACAUCAUAUAGCGGAAAGUGUACCAUCAACAAAACGAGCACCUGCCACCGCGCACAAUGGACUGCAAGAUAACAGUGCCUUCACUAGAGCUCACCCCAGCAUUUCUCUUUCUUUCCCUUUCGAAUACAGUACAGAAGGAUUCAUGUUGCAACAGGGGAAUUGUUUGCUUUUCUGAAUAAUAUUAGCAACAAAAGACAGGAAGCUUGGAAUGUAGGAGCAGGCCCUUAUCAGAACUGGUAUGCUGAUUAAUUUUUCAUUGGGUCACAGGAGCAUCUCCAAUAGAAAGGGUUGGCCGAUUCACAAAGGCUUCAAUAGAUUUCAAUUCAGAGUGAAAAUUUUGGUCAUACUGCGGUGUAAUAAACGUAUGUCUCCAUCUGUAUCAUAAUUUAUGAGCUAUUAAGGUAUCAGAAUAAUGGAAGGGGUCUGACUAGAAAUGGUGCACAAUGCGUGGCUGUCAUUUUAUCCCCACUUUACCUCCAUCUGUUGGACUCACUGGGCUGAAGAGUAACACAGUAACAUGACCACUCUGCUGAGCAAGGCCCCCUUUUAAAGCCUUUCAUCAUCCAAACAGGAACCGAGGUGUGACUUCUCUGGCCCAGGCAACGUUAGCUGGAAAGAUAGACAGUUGAACUUUAAAAAUUGAAUUACUGUGCCUUUGCCAAACACGGGGUCGUGUACAGUCCUAAGCUUAAAGCCUUUUUGUUAUCUGGAUUUUGAACUGUGUAAACCCAUACACCUUGCAGCCCAAGUUGAACAAAAGCACAAGGAAUUGAUGCAAGGUGACUGGAAGUCCUCACCAAACCGUCUGAGCAGGUGUUGUGGGACCACAGAGGAAUCAUAAAAGGUCCGAACGGCCGACAUAAUCAGGCUGUCCUAUCUGCUCCUUGACUGGAUUCAUAAAACUCUGUGCGCGUUGAUUAGACUCCUGCAGACCAGUCAAUGGGAUAUUGAUUUUCCCGGCCCAUUAUUGUGGCUGUCACAAUUCGGCCGUUUGACUGACUGAUGGCCAAGCUCUUAUGCACCUGUUCUAUUGUGUUACAGUCUGUAAUGUUUUAAAUGUCCUUCACUAUUUCUGCUUUUUACUUCACAUUUGAUGACUUUAUUGUCAUUCUUUUUUCUUUUAUUGUUUUGCUUUGAUCACUUUGCUUUGAAUUUGGUCAGAUUUUCUUCUUUUGAUUUAGAGACAUAUUUAUUGUGUAAUGAUGGGUAGAAUUGGAGCACUGACCUGAAAUUUAUUAUCUAGUUGCCUCUUUUGAGUUAAAUAUCAAAACAAAGCCAG